GGGGGUGUGGCUCAGUGGAAGAGCUCUUGCCUUGCAUGCAUAAGGUCCUGGGUUCAAUCCCCAGCACCACAA